GGUACAUGAACAAGAAUGUCUAUCAAAAGCCACAGAUUUGGAGUUUCCAUCGUGGCUCAGCAGAAACAAACCCGACUAGGAACCAUGAGGUUGCGGGUUCGAUCCCUGGCCUUGCUCAGUGGGUUAAGGAUCCUGCGCAGCCAUGAGCUGUGGUAGGUUGCAGACAUGCUGCCAGCCUGCACCACAGCCACAGCCACAUGAGAUCCAAGCCACCUCUGCGACCCACACCGCAGCUCACAGCAACGCCGGAUCCUUAACCCACUGAGCAGCGCCAGGGAUCAAACCCUCAUCCUCAUGGGUACCCGUCGGGUUCGUUAACUCCCCGUUCGCCUUCGCGUUACGAGUUCCGAGAGUCCGGUGUGUGCGCUUCCUCAUCAGGUGUAUGAUUUGCGAGCAUGUUCUCUCGUUUGCGGCUCAGCUUUCCGUUUCCUUAAGGACGUCUUUGAGGUUUUGAUUUUGGUGAGGCGGCAGCGGGUUCUGGGACCCCGUCUAUCGGUGGAUACCGCCUUGGUGUCCAGCAUGGGGCGGAAACGAGGCUCUGUCCCCCACUAGCCCCAAACCCAGAGCGGGUGCCAGCCCUUCUCUGGGCAUCAGGCACCCUGUCUGCGAAAGAGGCUUGGUGCCAGAACCCGCCUCAGAAGACCAGGCAGAGGGAUCCUUACAACGCCCGCCGCCUGGUUACUGCACAAGCAACUCAGCGAUGAUUCGGGCUCUCAGCGAAGUGACCCUCGCUCUCACUUUGCAUCCCUACGGCAGCCCUUGGAGCGGGGGCUCCUCGCCCCCAUUUCAGGGUGAAAAACAGACUCAGAGAAGCUGAGCGACUUGCUGUGGGUGGCUCAUAGAGGCCUCACCCCUGUGGGGGUCCCAGACCUGCUGACCGACGGCUGCUCCCGGAGGCAAAGGGAGGCUUCUCCCCCCACCACAAGCUCAGGACGCUGUCCCCAACUGCCCAGGGUCAUUAAACGAGCUCGAGCCAGGCACCUGCCGGCAGGGACGGCUGGUAUGCAGAGCCCAGGGACGCAUGGCUGCCGCCCCACGCCAAGCCCACGGCUCCGGAGACAAGCCUCUGGGACAUGGCAGGACAGGGUGCGGCCAGAAGGACAUGGGAGAGCCCAGCGUCAGGGAGCAGGCAGCCUCUUCCGGGGUGGGGUUCAGCCCCUGGGCCCCUCCUGACAGGCUCAGCAACUGCAAGGUGAGCCUGAGGCUCUCCAGUGACCCUCUGGGACAGCAGGCCUCCAGCCUGGGGUGUCCGCACCUGUGUCACCCUCCUGCCCGCCCUGCAUCUGGGACCUGUGUUCCUUUUCUUUUCUUUUUUCUCUUUUUAGAGCCACGCUGAUGGCAUAUGGAGGUUCCCAGGCUAGGGGGGAAAUUGGAGCUGCAGCUGCCAGCCUACACCACAGCCACAGCAAUGCCAGAUCCUUAGCCCACUGAGUGAGGCCAGGGAUCCAGUCCUCACCCUCGUGGAUACUAGUCGGGUUCAUUACCACUGCACCAUGACGGGAACUCCCUGUGUUUCUUUUCUGGCUUGGGGAAUUUUCAAACACACGUGCAAAGGGCCUGGCCCACCCAGCCCCAUGCGCCCAUCACCAGGCUCCAGCGACGACCGCUUCAGGCCCCUUCUCAUCUAGUCCCCCGUCCACUGAGCAAAAUCCAGCAUUUUCUUCCUGCGACCCUCGCUUCCAAAAUCCCACAGUGCAAGUGUGGGCAUCCAACAGUUUCCCCAGAAAAACAGGAACCACCUGCCAUCCACGCAGCAUUGGUGGGUCAUGGUGAGGGAGGCCAGCCCUGCCCCUUCCCAGCCACACGUCCUCGGACCAAACCAUUUGACCUCUCUGAGCCCCAGUGUCCUCGUCUUUAAAACGGGAUACCAGUGCCUACUGCCUGGCAAGAGGGCGGUGGAGGUGAACCAAGACUGCAGGCUGUCCGUGGUGCCCAGGUAGGCAGCAGAACAAUCCCAGCAGGCGGGGAGGGCCAGCCCCAACCUCAGGUGGGAAGGUGGGGAGAGAAUGGGAUGGAGAGGUUACAGGCAGAUCUUCAAGUUUCGUAACAAGGUAUUGAGGCAAAAAAGAACUCAAGCAAAUCAAGCAAGUUAUUGGUGUACGUUUUCUUAGGCUCCCGGCUCUUUUGGACAUUCGGACUAGUUCAUAAAUCUAACUGCAACAAAUUACAGCUGCAGUUGGAUCAUAUUUCUCCUUGACACUUAGAAGGAGCCUGGCUCAGCUACCUCUUGCUGUAUAACAAACAUCCCCAAACUUAGAACAGCAGUGGCUUAAAACAACCCCCCUUGUAUAUUUUCUCCCAACUCUGUAUUGCAUGGUGAUUCAGGCAGGUCGUUUGGGGGUAGCUCCUGACACCAGCUGGGCUGCUGUUAGCGUGGGGACUUGCCUGGGCUGGAUGUCGGGCCGGGCUCACCCACAGGGCAUGUGGAGGGUGCUGGGCAUCGGCUGGGAGCUCAGCUGGAGCUCUGCUGAGUGGUCUACACCAGGCUCUCCUGGUGAGCGGCUUGAGCAUCUCUCAGUGUGAUGACGGGGUCCUGAGAGGGAGCCUUGCCGAGAGCACGUGUUCCCAGAGAGAGAAACCGGGACUCCUGAGGCCUCGUUGCACCUCUCUGUUCCGAUAGUCAUGCGGUCUCGGUCUCGAGGCCAUGACUCCAGGAGGAGGGACGAGGAAGCCUCACCUCUCAGCGGGGGAGGGAUGAAGAACCUGAGGUCGGGGUCAGCCGCCACCUCGCUCAGUGAAGGAUGGUUGAUUGUGAAGCUGAAUUUCACAGACGUGCCUCAAAUAGGGAAUCAGCUGCUGGCAAGGCCUGGGGGGUCAUGAAUAUGGAAAGAUCUGCCCCCUCCCCAAGCCCUGGACCGAUUGUGAAGCCCCUCUGGGCCCCAAACCCCCCAGUGCUGCAUAUGACUGGAUAGUCUCUGGGGUGUGCGGCGGUCAUGCGAUGGUGACGGGGGUCUGCUGGGGGCCAGUCUGCAGGGCGCCCGCUCUCCCCACUGCCAUGGCCGUGGGCUCCCAGGCACGGCACUUCAUAGGCGUCCUGAGCUGGGAGAUGGUCUUUGGUCAGCGGUGGCCCUGCUGAGCCCUGGGUCUGCCCUGGUGUCCUUUUAAGCUCAGAAAGCGUCUGCGGCAACCACACCUGCCAGCCCUGCCCCUCGUCUUUGCUUCAGCCGAUCCCCUUGCCCGUAGCCCCGGUGCAGCCCCUUUAUGGCAACAGAAGGGGCACCUGCCUGAACCCCCUCCUCCCCAUUCCGGGCACGGCCCCCCACAGAGGCGCUCCCUCCCUGUCAGCUCCCCCGGGCAGCUCCACGGGCUUGGCAUUUGGGCAGAUGGCUUCCUUUGGGAAUGGGCUGUAGCAUCUGCUGCUUUCCUUGGAAUGCGUCUGGUCCCCUGGUCCCCAGAAACCUUCUGAGGACUCGCAGUUCUUUGCAAGUCCCAUCCAUUCCACCAGCAUGUCUAGAGUGCCUGCCCUGUGCUCUGCCUUGCGCCCCACGCCAAGGGCAGCAUGCCAGCACUGGCACCUGGUCCCCGCCGUCCAGGGUCUCCCUGAUCGAGAGGCACAGACCUUCACCCAUGGCAUCCAUGAACCCAUGGCAGCCUGGCAGCCUGCGGGCCGCCUGGCAAAGGGACACUGGCUUAGAGCUGUGGCCAAGGGGUGGGGGCGGGACAACUCUGGAGGAGGAUCUGGUCCCUUUUCUGUGCUCCUUGGGUGGCACCCAGAACCCAGGCCCCUACAGCGAGCGUUUCCUCCUGAUGGCCACACGCCCCGCCCACCGCACCCCCGCUCCCCUGGGAGGGGCUUACUCCAAGGCCAGCUUCUCAGUCUCCUCUUGUCACCUGUCUAGCUUUUAGCUCCACCCUUUCCAGCCCCUCCCGCUUUACUUUUCCUCCUUAACACUCGGACUCUCACAUCCGUGGGGCAGAAGCUUUGACUCACUGUGUUCUCAGCUGGAACUGUUUCUGGCACAUGCCAGGCGCUCUGUCCGCAAAGGGAUUCUUGUCGAAUUACGCUCAGGAAGUUACUCCCCGGGGCGGGGCUGGGGGACGAUGACUGCUCUCAUUACUGUCUCCUACUUCCUGGAGAUGAGACGGAGACCCAGGCGCUGAGAAGGGAGGCUCUGAGGGACAAGUGUCGGGGCGGACGUCACAGCGCCCCUCCCCCCAGGCGCACACCUGAGGAACCCCCGCCUCCAGCACCUGCCUUUUGCCCAAACUCCAGGAGGGUCUGAACACAGGCAGGUGUGGGGCUGCUGCCCUGGCUUCAGGUCCAGGGGCUGUGGGCUCCAGGCUGCCCCCUCCUCUCCAGUCCCCGCUGUUUGUGGGGGCGGGCAGGCAAGCCCACUGAGCUGGAUUCUCCCCCAGAGCCCAGGGGUCCCCACCACCUGCGUCCUCUACCCACCCCACCCCAAAACCACCUUCCCAGGAGUGGGCACCUCACCUGGCUGCCAGGAAAACCCUCUCCAAGUGGACUCUUUCUCUCUUUAAAAAAAAAUAAAUAAAUAAGUCCCACUUUAUUUUGGAAAUUUUCAACACAUCUGAAAGUAGAGAGAAUAGUAUACUGACCCACCAUGUCCCUGUCACUUCAGCUCAGCAAUUAUCACCGGUUUUCCGUUGCUUUCUUCUCCUUCUACCCCUCCCACCCUCACUCAGCCACUUUUUUAUUUUCCCUGACUCUUUAAAAGCAAACCUCGGCUUCAUACUAAUUCACUCAUAAAUACUUUUCCGUAUGUAUCAGUAACAGAUAAGGGCUUUAGACGUCAAAAUGAUGGAGUUCCUGGUGGCUGAGCAGGUUCAGGACCUGGCAUUGUCCCCGCUGUGGCUCUAGUCGCUG
rnacentral:lncRNA from 1 species